AUACUUAUAUAAAUAGAUAAUAUAAGCCAAUGUAUAUUUAUAUAGGUAACAACGAACAAGUUAUGUGUGAGCUAAGCAAGCAUGCUUAUAUAUUUUGGUAUGUCUCAAAGCAUGGUUUUGAUUUAAUCUUAUCGAUUGACCAAUAAAAAGGUUUUUAUUAAGUCCAACAUAUUUAAGAUCAUUGAUGCAUGCAUGACAUAAUAAGUACAUUAAUUCAUGUCAACUGAAAAGGUAUGUUGGACUUCUCAUUGUUUGAGUGGGAGUUCUUUUCAAAAACUCAUCAAUUUAUGCUCUCAAUUUUAUGCAGUUAUUAGGUGGAUGCAGUCGUUGCCAUAUGAGCAGUUGGACUUUCCAAACGAGAGAGGUUCAUUGGUUAAAUGAACAUUUAGCUACCGUUGUAUAAACUUACAAAAGAAUGAAGGUUAGACAAUAAAUUACUCUAAAUUUAUGCUUGAUUAAACUGCAUGUUAACAAAAUCGAAUCUCUAGAAGAGAGAUUUUCUUCAUGAAAUCAAAUCAAACCAACCUCACCACCAAACAAAGUGGGGCUGAGAAUGAUGGUGAGAGCGCCUUCAAGAAACUCAAUGGUGGUCAAGAUGAAAACAGAUGGAUCUUUCUUACUUUAAAAUCUUGGAAAAAAUUUAUCUUGGAUUAGUUGCGGACAAAAAUGCAUAGUUGAUUUGUUAGUUACUUCUAUUUUAAAAUUAAAUUAGAUGUUUAAUGUUAAUUAUAUUGUUAUAUGUGGUGUUAUGCUAGCAUUCUGUGUUGAAUGGAUGUUUCAGGGGUUAAAUAUAUUUUUCCCCAUUUUAUUCGACCUCGAUUUACAAAUGUAUUAUUGAACUGAAUUUUUUUACAAUUAAGUCAGCGGACUACAAAAAACUUACAAACCGUUACAAAUUCUGUUAAAUUGUUUGACUUUGGACGGAAAAAUUAUAUGAGGUGCCACGUGAAGAUAGAGAAAACCUAAAUGUCAGAAUUUUUAUUUGGGACAUGUCUAGAUGGAAACUUGUAUAAAUUUAUUGCUAAAUUAAUCAAAAUCAAAUAAAUAAAAUAAAUAAUCUAUUCAAAAUAAAAAUACAAUUAAAAUAAUUUUUUAAAAUUUAUUUUAAUUAUUAAUAUUUGUUUGGUAUGAUAACACUUUGGUAUUAUAGUAUACAAAAAAAUCUUUUUUUUAAGUAUGGUACAAUUUUAAAUAACUUAUAUAAAUUACACAUAAAUAUGUAAUUUUCUUUUAAUUUAAAAUAAGAGAAAUUUGGAUAAAUUUUAAAUUUGAGUAAUGUCUUUAUUAUUAUUCAUAAAUUUUUUCAUAAUAAGCACAAAUUUAAAAUUAAAAUUCAUAAAAUAAAUCCAAACUUCAAAAAAUAACUAAAAUUUUGAAAAUUAAUUAUUAUUUUUAUUUUUAAAAAUUAAUAUAAUUAUUAUUUAUAUUAUGAAAUCAAGGCUUAAAUAUAAAAGAAAGAAAUAUUAAAAAAUAAAAAUAUGCUAAAAAGUAAGUUUUAAAAUUUUUAGUAUAUUACAAAUUAAAAGAUAAGUUAAAAAAGAAAUUAAAACGAAUCUUCAGAUCAGAUCAGUUCAGUUCACCGUUCUCGUUCAUUAGAUCUGAAACAGUUACAAGGCAAAAUAGAAAUCGCAGUGAAUAUUUUGCUGCAAUUGCAAUAGACCCAUAUAUAAUAAAGCUCCUCAAAGAAGACGAGGUCAUUCUCUCCCCAACGUAUAUACCAGUAAUAUAUACAAUAUCUAUUGUUUCUGUAUUUGAAAAGGAGAAACGCCAUCUUCCUCCUUUCCCAUUCUAAACGAGGUCAUUCUCUCCCAACAUAUUUAAAUAUCGUUUCUGCAAGAUUUCUGAUCUAACCGCCCUCUUCCUCCUUUCCCCUUCGAUCAGAUCUACGAUCAAAAAAUUGAAAUACAGAUCCGAUCUUUAUUUAUCCAUCAAGCCAUUUUAUUUCAUCAGAUCCAUCAAGCCAGUUUUAUUUAUCCAUCAGAUCUGAUCAGAUCUACCAUAAAAAAAAUUGAAAUAUAUACAGAUCAGUAAUAGGAGGAAGAUGAAAUACAUAUCAACACUCGUUAAUGGUGGCAACCAUGCAAGUGGAUAUUACACAGACAAACACAACGCCCUCUUCUUCCUUUCCUCUCCGAUCACAACCACCACGUUCCACCAACGCCACCGCCACGCUAUACCCUUUUUCUACCUCUGACACUUCCUCCUCCUCUGCCGUUCAAUCCCUACAACCGAUCAGUCUAGAAAUGGAUGAACAUGAAAAUGAAAGAACUAAAUCUAAAUUAGAAAUAUAUAAAUUGUAAUCUUGUACCUGUAAUUUGAAUAAUAGUAUAAGUAAAUUACUAAUUAUUAAUAUUUAUAAUAAUAUUCUCCUUAUUUUAAACCAAUAAAAAUAAAUUUAUGUUUAUAAUAAGUUAGAUUGUAUUUGUUUAAUUUAAAUUGUUAUGUUAAUAUUUAAAAAAAAUAUGAAUUCAUUAAUUUUAUAUAAAUAUAUUUGUAAAAAUUAUAUAUAAAAAUAUUUAUUAUUAAUUAAUUUAAUUAAUAUAUUUUAUUAUUAAUUUAAAUAUUUGUUAUGUAUAUUAGUUUGAUUUAUAUUUUGUUUAAUUAUUUGUUAUAGAAUUGUGUAUAUUUUAAUUUAAUUAAUUAUCCAACUCAGCUUAUCUCUUCUUGUCAGCUUAUCAUACAUGUGCCACAUAAAUUUUCCGUUAAUAUUUUAACAGAGUAGACGGUUUUUCGGAUUUUUGUAAAGAAAUUAUAGUUUAAUGAGUUGACCGUAAAAAUUUUCAGUUCAAUGAUGCAUUUGUAAACCGAAGUCGAGUAGAAUGGAGAAAAAUGUAUUUAACCCGAUGUUUCAGUGACCGGGAGUUUAAGGUUAAGUUAUUUGAUUAUUAGUUUUGUCAUUUUCAACAAGAAUUAAUUUUACAUUUCAGAAUUGAGUAUGUUACGAGGGCUUAAUUAAUUGGCCAUAUCAUACAUGAUAUGCCUUUUGCCGAUUAAUAAUGUUACUUCCUUAAAUACACUGAUUGUUAUUUAAGUUUAACUGAUACGGUUGUUUUGAGGAGUGAACGGUUGUCUGAUCUCAUUUCACAGCUGCAAUAGUUGACCAAGGGUGUCAAUGAGGCUGGGAGCUCACCUGGAUAUGAUGGUGCUUUUUUUACAAAAGAAAAAAAAAGGCAGAAUUAUUUUAAAAAGUAAUUUUCUUUUACGGUUAAAGACAAAGUGUAACCGUCAUUUACUAAUAAAUGUUCAAUGAAUGCUUUUCUUUUAAUUAUUUUCUCUAAUAUUGUCUGAACUCAAUAAAUUAUUAAAUUCAUUAUUAAAACAACCAGUGCAUUGCACGAGCUAUUAACUAGUU
rnacentral:lncRNA from 1 species